GGGUUGUGAGGUUAAGCGACUAAGCGUACACGGUGGAUGCCCUGGCAGUCAGAGGCGAUGAAGGACGUGCUAAUCUGCGAUAAGCGUCGGUAAGGUGAUAUGAACCGUUAUAACCGGCGAUUUCCGAAUGGGGAAACCCAGUGUGUUUCGACACACUAUCAUUAACUGAAUCCAUAGGUUAAUGAGGCGAACCGGGGGAACUGAAACAUCUAAGUACCCCGAGGAAAAGAAAUCAACCGAGAUUCCCCCAGUAGCGGCGAGCGAACGGGGAGCAGCCCAGAGCCUGAAUCAGUGUGUGUGUUAGUGGAAGCGUCUGGAAAGGCGCGCGAUACAGGGUGACAGCCCCGUACACAAAAAUGCACAUGCUGUGAGCUCGAUGAGUAGGGCGGGACACGUGGUAUCCUGUCUGAAUAUGGGGGGACCAUCCUCCAAGGCUAAAUACUCCUGACUGACCGAUAGUGAACCAGUACCGUGAGGGAAAGGCGAAAAGAACCCCGGCGAGGGGAGUGAAAAAGAACCUGAAACCGUGUACGUACAAGCAGUGGGAGCACGCUUCGGCGUGUGACUGCGUACCUUUUGUAUAAUGGGUCAGCGACUUAUAUUCUGUAGCAAGGUUAACCGAAUAGGGGAGCCGAAGGGAAACCGAGUCUUAACUGGGCGUUAAGUUGCAGGGUAUAGACCCGAAACCCGGUGAUCUAGCCAUGGGCAGGUUGAAGGUUGGGUAACACUAACUGGAGGACCGAACCGACUAAUGUUGAAAAAUUAGCGGAUGACUUGUGGCUGGGGGUGAAAGGCCAAUCAAACCGGGAGAUAGCUGGUUCUCCCCGAAAGCUAUUUAGGUAGCGCCUCGUGAACUCAUCUCCGGGGGUAGAGCACUGUUUCGGCAAGGGGGUCAUCCCGACUUACCAACCCGAUGCAAACUGCGAAUACCGGAGAAUGUUAUCACGGGAGACACACGGCGGGUGCUAACGUCCGUCGUGAAGAGGGAAACAACCCAGACCGCCAGCUAAGGUCCCAAAGUCAUGGUUAAGUGGGAAACGAUGUGGGAAGGCCCAGACAGCCAGGAUGUUGGCUUAGAAGCAGCCAUCAUUUAAAGAAAGCGUAAUAGCUCACUGGUCGAGUCGGCCUGCGCGGAAGAUGUAACGGGGCUAAACCAUGCACCGAAGCUGCGGCAGCGACACUAUGUGUUGUUGGGUAGGGGAGCGUUCUGUAAGCCUGUGAAGGUGUGCUGUGAGGCAUGCUGGAGGUAUCAGAAGUGCGAAUGCUGACAUAAGUAACGAUAAAGCGGGUGAAAAGCCCGCUCGCCGGAAGACCAAGGGUUCCUGUCCAACGUUAAUCGGGGCAGGGUGAGUCGACCCCUAAGGCGAGGCCGAAAGGCGUAGUCGAUGGGAAACAGGUUAAUAUUCCUGUACUUGGUGUUACUGCGAAGGGGGGACGGAGAAGGCUAUGUUGGCCGGGCGACGGUUGUCCCGGUUUAAGCGUGUAGGCUGGUUUUCCAGGCAAAUCCGGAAAAUCAAGGCUGAGGCGUGAUGACGAGGCACUACGGUGCUGAAGCAACAAAUGCCCUGCUUCCAGGAAAAGCCUCUAAGCAUCAGGUAACAUCAAAUCGUACCCCAAACCGACACAGGUGGUCAGGUAGAGAAUACCAAGGCGCUUGAGAGAACUCGGGUGAAGGAACUAGGCAAAAUGGUGCCGUAACUUCGGGAGAAGGCACGCUGAUAUGUAGGUGAAGUCCCUUGCGGAUGGAGCUGAAAUCAGUCGAAGAUACCAGCUGGCUGCAACUGUUUAUUAAAAACACAGCACUGUGCAAACACGAAAGUGGACGUAUACGGUGUGACGCCUGCCCGGUGCCGGAAGGUUAAUUGAUGGGGUUAGCCGCAAGGCGAAGCUCUUGAUCGAAGCCCCGGUAAACGGCGGCCGUAACUAUAACGGUCCUAAGGUAGCGAAAUUCCUUGUCGGGUAAGUUCCGACCUGCACGAAUGGCGUAAUGAUGGCCAGGCUGUCUCCACCCGAGACUCAGUGAAAUUGAACUCGCUGUGAAGAUGCAGUGUACCCGCGGCAAGACGGAAAGACCCCGUGAACCUUUACUAUAGCUUGACACUGAACAUUGAGCCUUGAUGUGUAGGAUAGGUGGGAGGCUUUGAAGUGUGGACGCCAGUCUGCAUGGAGCCGACCUUGAAAUACCACCCUUUAAUGUUUGAUGUUCUAACGUUGACCCGUAAUCCGGGUUGCGGACAGUGUCUGGUGGGUAGUUUGACUGGGGCGGUCUCCUCCUAAAGAGUAACGGAGGAGCACGAAGGUUGGCUAAUCCUGGUCGGACAUCAGGAGGUUAGUGCAAUGGCAUAAGCCAGCUUGACUGCGAGCGUGACGGCGCGAGCAGGUGCGAAAGCAGGUCAUAGUGAUCCGGUGGUUCUGAAUGGAAGGGCCAUCGCUCAACGGAUAAAAGGUACUCCGGGGAUAACAGGCUGAUACCGCCCAAGAGUUCAUAUCGACGGCGGUGUUUGGCACCUCGAUGUCGGCUCAUCACAUCCUGGGGCUGAAGUAGGUCCCAAGGGUAUGGCUGUUCGCCAUUUAAAGUGGUACGCGAGCUGGGUUUAGAACGUCGUGAGACAGUUCGGUCCCUAUCUGCCGUGGGCGCUGGAGAACUGAGGGGGGCUGCUCCUAGUACGAGAGGACCGGAGUGGACGCAUCACUGGUGUUCGGGUUGUCAUGCCAAUGGCACUGCCCGGUAGCUAAAUGCGGAAGAGAUAAGUGCUGAAAGCAUCUAAGCACGAAACUUGCCCCGAGAUGAGUUCUCCCUGACUCCUUGAGAGUCCUGAAGGAACGUUGAAGACGACGACGUUGAUAGGCCGGGUGUGUAAGCGCAGCGAUGCGUUGAGCUAACCGGUACUAAUGAACCGUGAGGCUUAACCUUACAACGCCGAAG
rnacentral:rRNA from 1 species